GGGUGGGUGGGUGGUUGGGCGAGUCUCUUCCUGAAAGAGCUUCCCGUCAGAUUCCAGAUAAAUAUCCGAAAGCCGAUGGAUCUGCGUGCAGCCACAGUUCGAGACGGAGGAAAUCCGGAGGGUUUGACUUGUUUUCUCAGUUGUGUUUUUUGGAAUAAGAUUGGCUGCUGCCAGCAUGAUUGUAGAUCCUGUUCAUCCUGGGGACUCGUAGCCCCUAAUUCUUGGACUUGAGGGGGAAUGAUCAGGAAUGGUGUAAUCCUCCAGUUGUCUUUUUCCAGAAUGUAUUCUUGCUUUAUCGUUUUGGGGCAAGCAGUUCCUUGCUGCUAAAUGCGUAUCAAAUGAACACGACCGAUGACCAGUAAAUGGAUCCGAAGUAGACGACGACGACGAGGCAGUGAGAGAGCAAACCGCAGCGAAACCUCGUCACCGAAACUACUCGUUUUGGAGGCUCCUCAGCUAAAGCGGUUGUAAUUGAGGGAAUUCGACCUAGUGGUUCAAACCUCGGCGUCGUAGGAGAAGAGAUUUUACUCGUCUAUUGCGACUACUAGUUAUGAGUAAAUAGCGUCGCAUUUGAUUGUAGAUAUGUAAUUGAUGUGAAGCUUAAUGUUGAAAUACCUGUUAAGCCUGUGAGUUAAAAGCCAAGCCGAAUUGGGUUUCAAUCCAGUUGUCGUGCUUUGCAAAAAACAAAAUGUAGACAUUUUCCAAGAGAUGCCUUCACAACAUCAAACGUGCAAUCUUAGGGAAGCCAUCUGAGUCACACCCUAUUUUGAAUGCAUGUGCAUAAUCGGAAGAAACAGCCAACACAGCCUGGGCAUGUGAGUAGCAUGCAUUAUGCAAAAACUUCCCUAUCUGAGGUAAAUGUCAUUACUUUAUGGAAUGUCUGAUGAGCUUCCGACACGAUUCGAAUGUUGGAGGGUUUAAAAUCAGGCAAAUGCCGCGUCUUUGUGCAGCUGCGGCAGUUGUGAGUUUGGAAGACGUCAAUGCAUGCAUUUGCUGCAGCAUGAGGGAUCCGGGCUCCUUUCUUAUCUCUGUGAUCGCAGUAAAAAUCUCUCUAUUGUCUCGUAAUGCUACACUGCGUGCUCGAAUUUACGUCCUUUGAAUGCCAGGAAUAUCGUGGUAAAGAGCGAUGGAGGGCAUUCUGAAGCUUCCCACAGCUCUGGAGUCAAGCACAGUGGAGUUUACAAAGUCCACGAAUCUUGACCGAUGGGAUGAGAAGCGAAAACCAGGUUUAGAGAAGCCAAUGCAAGCUUAGGGUUGCUUGCCAUUGGCUUUGGGAAGAAAUUCCUCGCCAACUGUUUUACUUCCACCUCCGCAAUAGACUUGAUUGAGAAUCCUUUGGCAAAAAUCUAGUGGAGUUUCCACUUAACAUUCCGAAACUGAACUUCGAAGAUCCGUCGAUUUUAUUUUGUUUUGUUUCAAUUAUUUGUAAGAUAGAUGGGCGAUUGUUAUAGAUAACCCGAGAAACUGGUUCAACUGCUUAUUCUAGAAAGUGAGAAUAGCGAGAAGCUGUGCACCUUCCUGGUGCGGUUUGAGUGGCAUUCAAUUAUUCUGAAUUGAUCUAGUUUUUUCGCACAAUCGAGUCCUUCUCAUGGGUUUGAUGAGACCUCGUUGUCUGUUGGAUUGAUUUCUAGUAUGAUGCACUUUUAUCUAGUGUCUGAAGAUUCGAAGUUUUAGACUUUUAUAUUGUAUAUAUGUAUGUGUUAUUUUGAGCUUGGAACUUUUUAGCCAUGCAUAAAUCAUGACCUUAGGCUCACGGAAAGGGUUUGAUGCAUUGUUGUGACAGCCACGGAGUCCAAGCGAUUUCCUCUCCUGCAGUCCUUCCCCUCCCCCAAAAGCACACUCCGCUUGUGAUUCCGCCAUCCCCGCGAUCACUUCAACUAAAAGCGCAAUGGGGUUGAGUUCGGAACAAAGAUUAACGCCGUCGAAGCGGCACAUGUUGCAUCACAGAGCCUGGUCUGUCAGGGGGCUACCGAAGCAUGUGGUAACAGUCAACAUUUGUUGAUGGAAAAGCCGUUACGCUCAAGUUAAACAGGAUUGUGUGUCUCUAUCUUCGAUUUCUUCGAAGAAAGUUGUCGACGGCAGAGAUGAAGACAAUCUAGCAACAGCUACAAUGAAUGCCUUGCUCCGGAAAAAGGUAUAUGCAUUUGGGCUCCUCCAAUUCGCAUCAGAUGGAGCCAAGCAUCUUCCAGGGCGUGCAGUCCAAUACAAAACCACGAUCAAGGUGUUCACCUGGAAGAGAUUCAGUUCAUGACACACAGGACAGACCUCUUUGUUGUACACAAAGUUGUCUCAUUCUACAUGCUUGUGUUUCGGUCACUCUUCAUUCCCCAUCUGCUUCUGCUUCUUCUUCUUCUUCGUCUAGUACUACUAUUCUUAAUACCAUGUUGUUUGAAUUCACUGAACUUUUGCAGUGGUUGUGAACAAAAGGGAGCAAGAGCGUGCAGAAUGUGAAGACCUGCUUGCUGCAUAAGCCUCACUGAAGAAGUCAAGGCAAAACUUAGAAGCCAUUGCUGACAAAGAUUGUUUCAAAAAGUCGAACUGAGCUUUGCAUUGACGAAGUCUACUCUUUUGCAUUGAUGGAGUCUAAUCUUUUUGCAUUGAUUUAGUCUCAUCCUGUUGCUUCGGCUGGAAUGACUGUGUGUGGCUGCCAGUAAAAUACGCUGACCUAAAAUAAGUUGCAGGUAUAUGCUAAUUAUAAUGGCCUCGCAAGCAACCUUUGAGAUGAAUGUUUCUAGUGAGUGCGAAGAGCUGGAAAGUUUGCUACAAAGUUGUCGGUGUAGUGUAUUUCACUUUUGGGAUUAGUUUAAAAGGCCUUGUUUUACUUUGUUUCAAACAUCAGAUAUGUUGGUCAAGACAUAUGGAUGAAGAGUAGGACUACAACAGGCUUGCUAGCAUAGGCUAUUAUUUGCACACUUUGAUAGAAAACAAAGCACCAAUAAUAAUUUAACUUGCAAAUAUUGUGAAGAUGGUUUUAUUUCAAGAGAGUUUCUGAGAACG